GGUCGGGGUGGGUGCUGUUAUGAGAAGGAAGGGGAGGUCCCACAGGUGUUUAGAAGAAAAAACAGGCAAUAAAUGAAUGAAAACAAAUGGGGUUUAAACUAAGCUAAGGGAUGAGUAUUUUUGUUUCUUAUAGCUGAGAUAAGGUUCUUAUGAAGUUCCCAGGGAAUGUCCCUUCAGAGGUCAGGAAGCAUUUUGCUUCCACAAGUUUUGAGAGUCAUGAAGGCAGGAACACAUUUUGAGAUGCCAGAGCUCAAAUCCCAUGUCACUGGGACAUCAACAAUAGUGCUAUGGGGAAGACUCAGGGUGCCAGCUCUUGAGUCACAAUCACAGAAUUAGAAUGUGGAAGUAGCUACAGAACCCAAGGAAGCCCUGCCUUCUGAUAGCCACACUCAAUGCAAGGCUGCGUAUUUCACCCUGGAGGGAGUGCUGGUUUGCCACAAAACUCCAUCGUAACUGAAAGAGGAAAUCUUCUACAAAUUCCAGAGACCUUCUUGGAGGAUGAGAAGCAGCCACUAGUUGACAGGAGGGGAAGUGAGGCAUGUAGUCUUCAAGGGAGCAGACCACCGUGGGAGUUAUAAAAGAUCAGCGACGCCUCUGGGUGUGUUCGAACCACCAACUUUUUAGUUAACAGCCAAACGCGCUAGCCGAUUGCGCCACAGAGACAUGGCUGAGCUCCUGAUUUCGUUCUAAAAGAGGGUAAGCUGUCACUAAACGCUAGCUAGCACCAUCCGCCUUUUGCAAAAUGACUGGGUAAUCUCCAAAGCCUCGGAAAGCCGGAGCAGUCAGAGCGACGAAUCUACUUGUUUGUCAAGCUUGAAACCUGUGCACUGAGUGAUUCCGAAACGCCCCGCACCCCGCCUU
rnacentral:tRNA from 1 species